rnacentral:rRNA from 1 species
GAAUUUUGGACAAUGGGCGAAAGCCUGAUCCAGCAAUGCCGCGUGCAGGAUGAAGGCCUUCGGGUUGUAAACUGCUUUUGUACGGAACGAAAAGCUUUGGGUUAAUACCCUGGAGUCAUGACGGUACCGUAAGAAUAAGCACCGGCUAACUACGUGCCAUCAGCCGCGGUAAUACGUAGGGUGCAAGCGUGAAGCGGAAUUACUGGGCGUAAAGCGUGCGCAGGCGGUUUUGUAAGACAGAGGUGAAAUCCCCGGGCUCAACCUGGGAACUGCCUUUGUGACUGCAAGGCUAGAGUACGGCAGAGGGGGGUGGAAUUCCGCGUGUAGCAGUGAAAUGCGUAGAUAUGCGGAGGAACACCGAUGGCGAAGGCGACAUACUGGCUCAUUACUGACGCUGAGGCGCGAAAGCGUGGGGAGCAAACAG